GCCGGGCGUGGUGGCGCAUGCCUGUAAUCCCAGCUACUCAGGAGGCUGAGGCAGGAGAAUUGCUUGAACCCGGGAGGCAGAGGUUGCAGUGAGGUGAGAUUGCGCCACUGCACUCCAGCCUGGGCAACAGAGCGAGACUCCGUCUCAA
rnacentral:SRP_RNA from 1 species